GUGCCAGCCGCCGCGGUAAUACGUAGGGUGCAAGCGUUGUCCGGAAUUAUUGGGCGUAAAGAGCUCGUAGGCGGCUAGUCACGUCGGAUGUGAAAACCCGAGGCUCAACCUCGGGCCUGCAUUCGAUACGGGCUGGCUAGAGUACUGCAGGGGAGACUGGAAUUCCUGGUGUAGCGGUGAAAUGCGCAGAUAUCAGGAGGAACACCGGUGGCGAAGGCGGGUCUCUGGGCAGUAACUGACGCUGAGGAGCGAAAGCGUGGGGAGCAAACAGGAUUAGAUACCCUGGUAGUCC
rnacentral:rRNA from 1 species